rnacentral:rRNA from 1 species
GACGAACGCUGGCGGCGUGCCUAAUACAUGCAAGUCGAACGCAGUGGGGACGGGUGAGUAACACGUGGGUAACCUCCCAUCAGAGAGGAUAACACUUGGAAACAGGUUCUAAACCGACACUGAUUGAAGGCCCCGCGGUGCAUUAGCUAGUUGGUGGGGUAGCGGCUCACCAAGGCCACGAUGCAUAGCCGACUUGAGAGGCUGAUCGGCAACACUGGGACUGAGACACGGCCCAGACUCCUACGGGAGGCAGCAGUAGGGAAUCUUCGACAAUGGACGAAAGUCUGACGGAGCAACGCCGCGUGAGUGAAGAAGGUUUGCGGAUCGUAAAACUCUGUUGUUAGAGAAGCGGUAUCUAACCAGAAAGCCACGGCUAACUACGUGCCAGCAGCCGCGGUAAUAC